GUAAUCUAAAAUUGAGAUAUGAAAUAAAUGGGAAAUUAUGAUAACAAGGAAAUAAUUCAUUUUUAACAGGCAGUCAUAAGAAGUAAGAACAGUCACUACAUAUUCUUUGUAUAAAAUUUCUCUAGAUAAGAGGCUUUUUGUUAACAUCAAAGGUAUCUGGAGUUGUUAAAAUAACAGCUUUCAUUCCCUUGGUCCAGAAAGUAAAGGCUCAUCCUUGUUCUGAAGUGACCUCACAUUCCAAAAGGUUCCAGAUGAUUGGACCACUUUCUCCCUUCCAGGUAUGCCAGGCUGGUUGUGGUGCAGAAAAUGAAGUUGGGCACUUUCUUUGAUGUAUUCAGCCUUGUUACAAAGUAUUUGUUAAUAGUGUGAUUACUGUUGGGAUUAAAUAAUACAUUUAAAGCACCCAAUACAAAGAAAGAGUUCAAUAAAUAUGGAUCCUCUUUUGUCAACUCCCUAUAAUUCUAUUUGUAAUUAUCUUCUGGUUCAUAUCACUUUGUCACUUGUAAUAAUUCAUUCCACAUGUGAAUGUAUGCAUAUAAAACAGACAUAAGGAAGUACCGAACUCUUUCUGUGCUGGCUGUCUCUUAGGUCAUCUGAGGAUGCAGAGAUGAAAGACACAGUCGCUGUCCUCAUGGAGAUGACAGUUUAGUAACCCAUUCCAGGUCCACCAGCUGGGAAGUUCUGGUCUAGUGGAAGGCGCACUUGAGAGAAUGAGAAUUCUAACAUGAUGUGCUGCCAUGGAGAGAUGCCCAAGAAGCAGUGAGGUGAAUCAAAAGAAUCUCAGAGUAAUAAAAAUGGUGAGUUUUGGGGCUUCCCUGGUGGCGCAGCGAUUGACAGUCCGCCUGCCGAUGCAUGGGACACGGGUUCAUGCCCCGGUCCGGGAAGAUCCCACAUGCCGUGGAGCGGCUGGGCCUGUGAGCCAUGGCCACUGAGCCUGCGCGUCUGGAGCCUGUGCUCCGCAGCGGGAGAGGCCACAACAGUGAGAGGCCCGUGUACCGCAAAAAAAAAAAAAAAAAGGUGAGUUUCUAGAAAGAUCUAUUUCCAAUAAUGGUUUUCUUCUUAGUGAUCCAGCAUCACUGUCAUAAUUUCUUUACCUAUUUCUUAACCAAAUUAAAUAGUCUUAGUACUUAAUGCAGAAAUGGCCUUAACCAUCCAAUUUUACCUCCUAAAAACUCAAAACAGCCAAACCAAACUCGCCCCAUUUCCCUACUGCCCAGAAAAUCUCAAUGACAAAUACAAACAUAUAAAUAACUUAAUCAACUAACAUUUGAGCUUCAUCUGGGGAAAGCUGGCUUUUAUUAAUAUUUUCUUGAUGGGAAAGAUAUUUCUGGGUUAUCUCUGUACAUUUAAAUUUAAAGAAUUAUAUAGAAAUAUGAAUAUGAUUGAAAUGGUUAAGAAAAGCUUAUAUUAGCAGAAUAUUUUGGUUAUUUCUUACCUCCUUC